GCCAGGCCCUACGGGGCGCACCAGGCGCGAAAACUCCGCAAUGCGGGAAACCGUGACGGGGUUACCCCGAGUGCUCCCCUUGUGGGAGCUUUUCCCCGCUGUAAAAAGGCGGGGGAAUAAGCGGGGGGCAAGUCUGGUGUCAGCCGCCGCGGUAAUACCAGCCCCGCGAGUGGUCGGGGUGUUUAUUGGGCCUAAAGCGGCCGUAGCCGGCCCGGUAAGUCCUCCCUGAAAGCCCCAGGCUCAACCUGGGGAGCGGGAGGAUACUGCCGGGCUAGAGGGCGGGAGAGGCCGAGGGUACUCCCGGGGUAGGGGCGAAAUCCUGUAAUCCCGGGAGGACCACCAGUGGCGAAGGCGCUCGGCUGGAACGCGCCUGACGGUGAGGGCCGAAAGCCGGGGGAGCGAACCGGAUUAGAUACCCGGGUAGUCCCGGCUGUAAACGAUGCGGGCUAGGUGUUAGGCGGGCGGGA
rnacentral:rRNA from 1 species